UACAGAGGUCUCAAGCGUUGUUCGGAAUCACUGGGCGUAAAGGGUGCGUAGGUGGCGUGGUAAGUCAGAUGUGAAAGCCCGGGGCUCAACCUCGGAAUUGCAUCCGAUACUGCCGUGCUAGAGUACUGAAGAGGUGACUAGAAUUCUCGGUGUAGCAGUGAAAUGCGUAGAUAUCGAGAGGAAUACCAACGGCGAAGGCAGGUCACUGGGCAGUUACUGACACUGAGGCACGAAGGCCAGGGGAGCAAACGGG
rnacentral:rRNA from 1 species